rnacentral:rRNA from 1 species
GACAGAGGGUGCAAACGUUGUUCGGAAUUACUGGCGUAAAGCGUGUGUAGGCGGCUACGUAAGUCGGAUGUGAAAGCCCCAGGCUCAACCUGGGAAGUGCACUCGAUACUGCGUAGCUUGAGUAUCGGAGAGGUUGGUGGAAUUCUCGGUGUAGAGGUGAAAUUCGUAGAUAUCGAGAGGAACACCGGUGGCGAAGGCGGCCAACUGGACGAAUACUGACGCUGAGACACGAAAGCGUGGGGAGCAAACAGG